rnacentral:rRNA from 1 species
CUGAAAGGGCGUCCGGCCACACUGGGACUGAGACACGGCCCAGACUCCUACGGGAGGCAGCAGUGGGGAAUAUUGCACAAUGGGCGAAAGCCUGAUGCAGCGACGCCGCGUGAGGGAUGACGGCCUUCGGGUUGUAAACCUCUUUCAGCAGGGAAGAAGCGAAAGUGACGGUACCUGCAGAAGAAGCGCCGGCUAACUACGUGCCAGCAGCCGCGGUAAUACGUAGGGCGCAAGCGUUGUCCGGAAUUAUUGGGCGUAAAGAGCUCGUAGGCGGCUUGUCACGUCGGUUGUGAAAGCCCGGGGCUUAACCCCGGGUCUGCAAUCGAUACGGGCAGGCUAGAGUUCGGUAGGGAAGAUCGAAAUUCC